rnacentral:tRNA from 1 species
GGGAUCUUGGUGUAGCAGCAGCACAACAGGUUGUGGUCCUGUUAGCAGGAGUGCAAAUCUCCUAGAUCCCC